rnacentral:misc_RNA from 1 species
CGCAACUUGCGCUCCUUGGUAUUCCGAGGCGCACAUCUGUUCGAGUGUCACCCGACGCUCAGGCAACACAGCUCUUCAAAAGCUGGGUAUGGCUUGGUCAUUGGGCUCUGCCGUCUCUGACGAGACGGCUGGCCUCAAAUGCAGUAGCUGAUUGGGUUCGUGAAGUCAGUUAUUUGGCGUGAUAAUGUUUUUUUGAACGCCAAUGACACCUAGGGUGGUUGACUUCCGGCUGAAAUCAAUCGCUUCCAACACGACACUAUUCACAUUCAUACUUGGCCUCGAAUCAGAUGGGACUACCCGCUGAACUUAA